UAAAGUCUUCAAAAAAGAAUAGAUACGAUUCGAUUCGAUGUAGUAACGCAUUUGAUCAUACCAGCAUUAAUGCACUGGAUCCCAUCAGAACUCUACAGUUAAGCGUGCUUGGGUGAGAGUAGUACUAGGAUGGGUGACCUUCCAGAAAUACCUCGUGUUGAAUCCUUC
rnacentral:rRNA from 1 species